UUCGCAAUGCCCGAAAGGGUGACGAAGCGACGCCGCGUGUGGGAAGAAGGCCUUCGGGUUGUAAACCACUGUCGGGAGUUAAGAAAUGCAAGGAUAUUAAUAGUGUCUUUGUUUGACUAAGGCUCCGGAGGAAGCCACGGCUAACUCUGUGCCAGCAGCCGCGGUAAUACAGAGGCGGCAAGCGUUGUUCGGAAUUAUUGGGCGUAAAGAGCACGUAGGCGGCUAUGUAAGUCGGUUGUGAAAGCCUUCCGCUCAACGGAAGAACAGCAUCCGAUACUACAUGGCUUGAGUGCGGGAGGGGAGAGUGGAACUUCUGGUGGAGCGGUGAAAUGCGUAGAUAUCAGAAGGAACGCCGGCGGCGAAAGCGGCUCUCUGGCCCAUAACUGACGCUGAGUGUGCGAAAGCUAGGGGAGCAAACGGGAUUAGAUACCCCGGUAGUCCUAGCCGUAAACGAUGGGCACUAAGUAGAGGGGUUUU
rnacentral:rRNA from 6 species